CCAUAAGAAAAGCUGAGAGAGUCACUUGGGUCCACGUUAUCCACUGCAAGAAGGUCCCUUGUGCGAGAGGUCUCAUUUUUGUGCGAGAGGUCUCAGGGUUCUGGAGAGAUCGAUAACGGAGCAGAUGGUGAGAUACGGACCGAGUCCAAGUUCAGACCAGUGGGACGACAAAUACCUACCGCCGAGCCUGGUGGAGGAUUCAUUCAAUUAUGAGGAGCCCAUGUUAGAUGAGACCAUCUUAAGAGUUCCUGAAUUAGUUAGAUUUUGUGUGAAAUUUCUGAAUCCAAUAAAAAUAGGUGUUAUAAUGUAUGUGAAAUAUUUAGCCAAUCGGGUGGAUGUAAUGAAAGGUUUGACUAAAUGAUUUCACUCAGAAACCUUAUCACCUGUUGAAAUGUAUUCAAAAUAAGGCUAUAAUAAUGGGUUAAAAACUAUAUUCCAAUACUGUGUGAGUAAGACACUGUUACCAGAAUGAGCAGGGCAGAGUUGAUAAGACGACCUUGGGAAAGGAACAGGAGAAGAAGCCUCCUUAAGUUAGGGAGCGAAACUACGGCCUGGGAACGGCUUAGUGGGCAGGAGAUUAGAAGACAGGUGGCAAGGUUGAUAAGGAAUGUAUGUGUACUGUGGAAGAAUACAGCCGCCUAAAGCUGGGUUGAGUUCUCUACUGAUGUGUGUGUGUGUGUUAAUAUAGAAGGAUAUAUUAUAACCAACAGAGAUUUGUUAACUAUACUUGUACUGCACUGACAGGUAUGGCUGAGCAACUAGAGGCUACCACUAGAACCGCUAGACGAAAUAGAUUGGAGUUGGAUAUGAUAUUGGCUAAUAAUAGGGGGUGUAUAAAAUGUUUGGUGAACAAUGCUGUACUUUUAUCCCUAAUAACACCAGCCCUGAUGGCAGCAUUACCAAAGCCCUAUUGGGACUUGACAAGCUAUCUGCUGAAAUGAAGGGUGUAGUGGGGGUAGACGAGUGGAAUUGGCUGAAUACCUUUUUUGGCAAGUACACAUCUAUGGUGGUUACUGGAUUUCUGACCCUAGUGCUUGUGUUCCCAUUAUUGAUGUGUUGUGCUGCCUGUAUAAUCCAUUGCUUAAGAAAGUCUCUUACAGAUGUUGUCAGGGCAACCGGAAUGAUGCUUUUGAUGGAAGUGACCCUGGAGGACACUGAAUCCAGCUCUGGGCAAAAGAAGGGUCUGUCUGAGGAUGAUCCUUGGUUUGCUGUUGAGGAAGUGGUUGAAUAAAGCUUAUCCAAAAUGUUCUCAUAUGUAUUGAAUGUAGUGGCAGGUGGAUGUGAAGGUUUAAAGUACUGGGACAAAGUGUCUGUCCCACACAUGUUAGGUGUAGCCACUGCCGCAAGAAGGUCUUCUUUUUAUACGUUUUUUGAAUAAUAAUGUUCUGAAUUUAUCCUGUGUACUAUUUGUCUUUCCUUAUGUGAAGGUUUGAAGUUCCUGGGUGGCUGGUAGUCAACCUAGUACAAGUUAGGUGUAGCUGGAGGACUGAAGGUUUUUUGUUAUCGUUAUUGCCUAUUAAUAAAAGUGUUUGUAUUGUAUUUUAGUGAGUGACACCCUAGUGGGUGUCAAAAGGGGUAAUCCUAAAUUUCUCUGAAAUUUCUUAUUUGUGGAAUGUUUUUUUACCAUUUAUUCUGCUUGACUAAUUCUAUUAAUAAACAGCUGAAAAUAUAUUCAGUAGCCUAGUGUUAAAUUCUGUUCUGAUACCAGAUUGAAUUGACGCAGCCCUAACACAAUACAGUAUGUCUGAAAUUCUUGUUUAAAUUAUUCUGUUUGACAUCCAAAUUAAACGUGUUUUUAAGCUCUUAA